CUUUGUUCCGGUUCGCGGACCCGGGUGUUGCAGCCAGGAGUCAGGAGUCCGGAUUCGCUGUGUGUAACCUGAACGGGAAAUGGUAGAUGAGAGCUGCGUUCUUCCGAACAUUCGGUGGACCGGAAGUACUGGAGAUCGGCGAAGCGCCUGAGCCUGUAGUCGCCCGGGGAACAGUAGUCGUGGGAGUUCGGGCCGUGGCCCUGAACCACCUGGAUUUGUGGGUCCGGCGCGGGAUCCCGGGUCUGGACCUCGAACUGCCGCACAUUGGGGGAUCGGACGUAUCGGGCGUGAUCGAGGAGAUCGGGCCGGAGGUGGAGGGUUGGGCCGUCGGUGAUCGCGUGGCGGUGAAUCCCGG
rnacentral:rRNA from 1 species